CUUGAAACCAGUUCAGCAGGACCUUUAGGCAGUCUCUGCUUCUCCAAUGACAAGCUUCAAAGGAUUGCUGUAAGUUUCAGCUUAACUACACCCUGUUUUGUGCCACUGGAGGGAGAGAACACCACAGACACUGGAAAGAUACAGGAGAAAAGGGCGUCUCUUUUCAGGUCCAGAUCUGUUGCCCAUCUUCCAGAAAAUUGAGAGGAAGCAAAUGCUACCACACUACUGAAUGCAUCUGAACUAACCACAUGAUCACCAAGGAAAUAAGACAGUCUUCCAGAACAAAGAGACUAAAAGGCUUC
rnacentral:lncRNA from 12 species